rnacentral:misc_RNA from 1 species
AAGUUUACAAAUUUAUCAUUCUUUCAUAUAAGAGCAAUCGCCUACAUGGAAACUUAUAAUUUAUGCUCAAUCUACAUAGUGCAUUUUUUGUUCCUCGUGAAUUAUAUGUCUAAUGAAUUGCUGAAAUAACGAAUUUGGCGUAUAUAGUUGAAUUGAAGAAACAAAGCUCGUGUUCAGUUCAACUGGGUAACAGGUCUGAUCAGUAUGUUGCAUUCAAGGUGCGGCCUCUAUAUUCCUCACAUUUUGACUGCAAUGCAAUAGCUGUGCAAAUGUUUAAUGCUUAUGAAUAUUAUUUGAAAAUAGAGAAAAUUGCUUUGUUGAAAAGAAUACUUGGAAUAACCAAAUAAAACUCAACUAAAUCACAAAAAUUAUUGGCAGGUGAAGACUACAUCUCCAAAAAAAUAUUGCGUGCGGCCUAACAUAGGCAUUAUUAAGCCAAAAGCAACUAGUGAAUUCACAGGUUUAUGACCAUAUUCUCUCUUAAAUUAGCUGAAUUUUUUGUCUUGAAUAUAUGUUCGUAACAUUGCUCCUCUAUACUAGGCCAUUUAGAAAGGAGAACAAAAUGAUAGCACGUAUUUUAAGCUCAGUUAUAAUGAUUUGGGUGAGAAAUCUGCUUUUUAUGAAAGUAAACAAGCUUUUAUUCUCAAUUAUGAAGAAAGCUCUGAUGCCCAUAAGGACAUUGUUAAGCAUGACGAUAGAUGACUUCUUAGAUAAAAUGGAAAAUGAACUUUGUGCAUUUAUGGCUAAUACGCCAUGUCAUAAUUGGAAUUGGAACCAAGGGUAUAAGAUAACUUCCGUAGAAAUGGAACCAGUAAGUUACUGCCAUUUUCUUACAUUAUCAGGAAAUAUAAUAGAUCGAUUGCUGGUCACUUUUUUGCUUUUUUAGUUACCAUGCAAGCUCAGAAGGUAGCUCCACCUGAUUUGCUGUGCAAAGACAAGUUCCUUAUUCAAAGCACAUAUGUGCCCUUUGGAACAACUGAUGAGGACGUUACAUCUGGGAUGGUAUGUAUUUGCUGUUUCCUAUCAGUUUAUGAUAUUUUUAUACUAAGAAUAUGAGAUAGUAUUUUGUUUUAUAUUUUCCCUUUAGUACUUUCUUCUUGUCUUAUUUGGCAGUUUUCUAAAGAAAGUGGGAAAUACAUUGAUGAGAAGAAGCUGAGGGUGGUUCUCAUUAGUCCACUCCAUUCACCAGUUCUGCUUCCAAAUAAUGGAGAGUUGAAGAAAGAUCCAUCUUAUGAUGCUGCAUUGCACAAAGAUAUAGCACAGAAUGGCAUUGAGAACAUACCUCCACCUCAAAGGUUAGAGAAGGAUGUUGCAGGCUCUCCUGCCAAGGAUAUAGAGGAGUUAAAGGCAGCUAAGGAUGCUGAAUCAAGACAAGCUGAUGAUAAAAUGAACUUGGAAUCAGCAAAGGAGCUAGUGGAACCAAAGUUAAUUAAGGAUUUUGAGGAGUUAAAAUCAAAGCUACAUCUAAUGGAUUCAAAACUAAGAGAGGUCUGUUCUCUACCAUUGUGGCUUCAACUUAGUGGCACAGUAACCUUGAAUUCGUUUGUCCUGUUCAGAGGAAACGCCUCUGCUGUCAUAAAUCAUACCAUUUAUAUUGUAAUAAUAACUUAAAUUUCAUCUUUGAAAAACAUUAGUGUGAAAAAUUUUUGGGGAAAUUUUUUUAUGAUGAUAUACACCUCUUGUUAUCAAGUUCAUCCUUAUUGAUUUGUUUGUUUCUGCAGGCUGAUCAUACUAUCACAAAGCUGAUUGAUGAGAGGAGUGCAGCCAUCAGAGAGAAGGAUCUUCUCAAGCAUGAAGUAGUGAGUAAUUUAUCACUCUGCAUUUUUCCCUAAUGUUAAGGCUAAUAAGUAAUAAUCCAGAUAAAAACUAGGAGAAGUUUUCUGCCAUUAUGCCUUACUAAUGCCAAAGGAAAAAGCUAUUUGUUAAACUAGGUGUUCAAAUCCAAGGUUCUCAUAAAUUUAAGACACACACAAUCACGGUAUAUAGACAAUAAGAAAAAUGGAUACACAAACAAGCAAAAAAUUCUACUAUGAUAAAAGGAACGAGUUACAAUCUCUUCUAACUCUUUAAACACUAAUCCCGGUAGGUUUAACCUAAUUUCACACUCUAACAAUAGACAAAAUUUACUAUAUUUAUAUUGUUUCAUACCGCAGAGACAUUGCCUCCACCCAAACUCUUCGUUUAGCUUAGGACUAGAGCCCGCUAUUGAUCUCACAGAAUAUCCAAUUGUGGUUGCGCAAUGGACUUUUUGGAUUGAGACAUAAUUUGGACCUAAAAAAAAAAGCAUAUUCAAAUACGAAGCUAUAUCAUAACACUAUUGUACUAAUCAGUUGGCAAGAGUCAAGAGAUGGCAGUGAAAGCAAAAUUCUAGUAACUGAUAAACUUAUCCUCUAAGGGAUUACCAGUGGGUAUUCAUAUUUAUUAUGUCAUUAUAUAGCAUAAUAUAUCAUGACUUUUGCUUGAUGAAAAGGCGUAGUUAUAUUUUACAAAAUAGACAAAUCAGAAGAUAGCCUUAACAGUUCACAUAACUAACAUUAACUGAGCACUUCUUGUCAGAGGACCGUUUGGUGCCUCUACUUUCUUUAACACACAAGCCUUAUUCUUUCAUAUCCACUUCGGAACUCCAGCAGUUCUUUUUAUUCAAUAAUUUUGUGCUUCUAAAUUCCAAUCAAACUCGGUCAUGUUUUACUGUCACAACUUGAAUCAUGUUUUUAAUCCUUGGGACGCUUAGGAGAGUAGGGCAGAUGUAACUUGGAUCAGAUGAUGGCCAACCAUCUUGUACGUUUGUUUUUUGCUUAAGUUUAAGAGAAGUAAAAAAUCUUCCUGGUGUACGGUGCUUCUGAUAUAUGCUAUUUCCCCUUUGUAGGAGUUGUUAAGGAGAAAAAGCAUGAAAAGAGUUCAGGUGGGUUUUCCUCUUCUGUAUGUUUGUACGGUUGCUCUCAUCAGUCUGGCAUUUGGAUACCUUCUUCAUCUAUAGGCAGAAGAGGAUCUGAUUGUCAAAAUAGAUUUUUUUUUGGGGUUCAUAUUUGAUGUGUGAUAUAUGCUGUAGUUCUUGAAAUUGUGCAUGUAAAGAGAGCUGAUCUCUUGUAAUAAAAGAACUUAAAGUAACAAAAUUGACAGCUUUAUGGUGAGAAGCUUUGCAUUAUUUCAUACGUGAGACCAUAAAUUGUAUUGGUUUGAAAGAUGAUAAUUUACAAAUUCAGCACCUAAAUGCCAAAAGCGUGCCCUCGCAAAGUA